AUGAUGAGAUUGUGGUGAUGUUAUCCCCCACUUUUCGUUAAUUAGAGCAAAAUGGUACAUUCCAUCUGUAUAAAAAAAGGAUGAGUCUGACAUCUAGGGCACGUCAUUUGGGGUCUCGGUGCUGACGUCAUUUCUGGUGCGCCGUGUUGAUGUCCUGAAGGUAAGCGUUGCUGGUGGCAGCUGCAGUCUUGCAUAUGUUUGGACGGGGUAAUUUGACACCCAUGUAUUUCAGUGUGGCUGAGGAGUAUGGUAGACGCGUUGAGCAACUUUAUUUCUGCGAACCUUGUGGCUUGCACGCCAUUGAGUGUGCGGGGUGGUGCGAGUCUUUAUUUGCAGUGACACGGGAGCCAGGAGGUGUUGCAGCAGGCUGUGUGGGCGCGGUUAAGCAUCGUAAUUCCUCUUGUUGAACAACACGAUUUAUAUCAUCUCUUAGCUGUAAUGAAUGCAUGAACUGGAACGUUUUCGGACGGCUGGAUGGUUUCUUUCUCUCUCCGCGUUGGUUUCUUCGACCGUUCUUCUGCUGUAUACUGGAUGAUGUCAUUGCUGCGGCUUUGCAGAAUUGGGGUACCAGUAUUAGCCAGUGUCCUCUGUGUGUGGUGGUGGUUCGGCUGUCGGCUUGCAGUGUUCACAACGGGUGUUGUUGGUGCUGUGUUGUGAGAGCACGAGUGUUUGCUGUGUUUAUCCGAUAGGCAAGACGAAUUCCCCAGUUCUGAAGCGGUAAACUCAUGUCUGUAUGGAUGUGCAAGAAGUUUUAUGAGUGAUCGUACUCCUCUUUUAACUUUUAUACAUUAAAGAGAAUGGUCUUGUAUUUUUCUGAUGUUUAUUAAAUAAAAGUUUGUGUAAUGUA